GGCUGAAAUUGUUCCCCUUGUCUCAAGGAAAAACGCGGAGACCACGGUCGGUCGGCAAAUGGUUGGCAGCACAGUUGUACAUCGGUGGGACACUGAGAGGGCCUAGUACAAUGUCUGGAAUUGUAUAUUGUGCACGACAGAGCACCUUCAUCCUAUCGCUCACUGGAUGGUUCUAUAAAAGCAAUUUUUCACUUCCCCCGGCUUUGCAGGAGCCAGGUGUGCGCCCCAUAAUACGCCUAUUAUACAGCCAUUCUCGGUAGCCAUUGCUUAUACAAUGACUCUUCUGAUUUGCUCCAUUAUGGUGUGGCUGCCAACAACUUCGGUCCCCAUCCAGUGCCUCUUCAGGUAUGCAUUUCGCAUAUACUUCCAGGCAAAAAUUUCACCCUCCUACUCUCUUUGUCUUAAGACAAACAAAAGUGACUUUUUUUUUUUUAAAAACUGCAUGUGCCUGCAGCACAGGCGCCCGAAAAGAGGAAACCUGUUUCCCUCCUUGGUUUCUGGUUUCUCCACCCAGCCUCCUCACCACCCUCCCUCUCCGCGCACCCAGUCCUUCCGGCCUCCACCCAGACUCCGAGAAGUGCCCCGACAUUCCAGGAGGCACGAAACCCAACUCGCUCCCUGUAGGCUGGGUAUUUGCAAUUGAAAAAUGUCUCUCCAGCUCCUGCUGCUGUUCGCCGGUGUAGACAGGUCAUGAUGCUCCUGAGAAAAUGACUUCUAUCUCCAGCUCUACGAUCCUUAAAACCUUGGAAGCAAACAAUAAUAUUCCGCUUUCUUCUUUGUGCUUUGCUGCUGUCUCUAAAAGUGUGAAAAAAAAAUAGCAACUUCAGCUAAAAGGUAUGUGUGUAUACAUAUA
rnacentral:lncRNA from 1 species